UCCUUGCUGUGGCGCGAGAUCGGGGCUUAGCGGCUUCUUGGGGCACCGAUCGAGCGGGGGGAGAUGGGACGGCGCGGCGGGCAUCGAUCCAAUGCCCUAGUCGCGGUAAUAGUGGAUGCAUUCCACGGUAUUGUGAUCGGGGUUGUUGCCUUGCACGGUGGAGUGUGGCGAUGUGGUGUAUCGGAGCACUCUGCCCAAAUUCGAUAGGAAACAGGCUCAGGCCUUCUUAGACGAAGGAUGACUUUGUCCUGGAGAAGAACAUUGGAGAAGGAGCGUUUGGAUCCAUCCGUCUACAAAGGAUCGUUUGCGAAAUCCUCAAAAGAAGUCGUUUCCAGUGGUGGUGAAGAAGGCUGAGCAGUGGAGGCUUGGAUGAACCAGCGCGUGCGACGAGCAUGCCCGGGAAAAUGUGCUGACGGACUGUGUGUGUGUGUGUGGCGUUUCAUAUAUCUUUGGUUCUAGAGAGUCGAUCCGAAGGAGGAGUGUCCGUCGCGAUUUGAGAUUUUCUGCAUGAAACCGAAAACUCACUAACAUUGUAAGGAAAAUCCUCGAGAGGCGCCACACCUUCGUAACGCCACACAAGCCAAACAGGUUGAGAAGGCGUUGAGCUUGAAGACUACACAGCUUGCCAAAGGUUGCGAGCGAGAAAACCAGAUCGAGUGUUUGAGGGAGACUGGAUUGUUCAUUAAAACCUCAUCUUUCCCACGAGUCGAAGUCCUUCAAGAUUAUUGAUCUCGGUCGGUGAGGACUUUCCGCAAGAGUUCCUACUGGAUCCAAGGUACGCUGCACCAGAGCUGUACGUUAUGAGCACUCAGACUCCUGCAACAGCACUCUCUCCAGUUCUAUGGCAGGCAUAUACCAGUCAAUAUUUCUGUGACAAAUCACGAACUUUGAUCCUUACAGCUAAACCUGCCAGACCACUAUAGCCUCGGAUUGAUGUUCUUGCAAAUGGUAAGUCCAGCUGAUACAUCUAUCAAUGGCAGGUGUUUUCGAAAUUGAGAAGCGAUAGUGCUCUCAUCCAGUUCAAUGAAGCGCAUGAAUCGUGGAGAAGCUUGGUGGAGGCUCGGCGAAAUCCGGGCGUUCAACGUGGCUUGGAGAUUCUGGACGGAGGAGCUGCUCCAAGCGAUGAUGCUGUUUAAAGGUCGUCAACGUAUCAGUGCCUGGCCUGUCCCACAAUGUCCUCGGGCACCAGCGACCACAGCUACCAUCGGGUUGUUCCUGUCGAGACGGAAGUAGCGCACUUCUAGUUACUUAGACAAGGAUUCAAUUCAAUGUGCAUUCUUUCCUUUCUUUUCUGCCCGGGCUCUGACUGGGAUCGUAGAAAUGAGGAGCUCUUGCCGGA